UCCACCGAUAAAUCAGGAGUGUCAUUUCUCCCCUCGGGGGCCGACAGUUACCAUUUUGAGUGGAGCCAGUAUCAGGAUGACAUAGCGGACCUCGCAGCAGUUCUCCCCCCAGUUCUGCGGCCUCUCCAGGCGGGAGAUGCACACGUGACGCCUCUGGAGAUGCUUCACGUUGCAGCUGGAGCAGAGAGAGAGAGAGAGGAGAGAGGAGGAGGUUUUUUUAUAAAUGUCAACGGCUCACCUCGACAGCAGCACCCUUCAUUUCCGAAGAUUAACCUCUUUCUCUGCAGCGACAGGAUGCAGAGCCAUGACUGCUGAUACUGGACCCCGGUGGCAGUGGCCGUCACUCCCUGGAUCGUCUCUGACAGCAGGUGGACUGUGGAGGAGGGGGAAGUCAGCGGUCAGACACAGGUUAACAGAGAUCGACCUGGAGUCUAGUCUGAUCCUCUCCGUCUUAUUCUCCUGCUGCACAGCGUUGAACUCUCUCUGGUGUGUGUGAGCCCUAAUUGCUCCAACACUGCAUGUCCUUCUCCCACUUUGGAACACUUUAACUAACCCUAGAUGUAUAUCUUAUGUUCAUUUCCACAUGUUAUCAGAAGUUGAUGAUGGUGGUUACUUCAUGUAUGUCACUGAUGAUGUUUGAGAUCUGUCCCUGGUUUAAGUUUCAGCACACAUUAUUGUUUCAUGUAUGAGAAAGCUGGUUUGUGAGGAGGGAACAUUGGUGCAUCUUUCUCAGCCUUACGCUCAGCCUUAACUUUUGGUUUCAUGGAUGCAUUUGUUGAUUCUCUUACUCCCUCUCUCUUUAGUUAAAGUGAUCUUCAUGCUUUUUCUCUCUUAUUUUGGUUUGAGCUUACAGAGUCGCCUCACAGCUCCUGUGAGGGGGUUUUAAUUGUUCAUAAAAUAGACUUGAAUUAACACUAAUGCUUCUUUACGAGCUACGAAAGCAAAUAAAAAGACCACUGGGAGGAAGGUUGGCUAAUUCUA